UAUUUAUAUAUGAGCAGUUGUAUUGUGUUGGUGCGUUUACCUAUAAAUAUGGCAUCUGUCUUGUGAGUUAGUAAGCAAUCAAAAAGAAAAAAUAGAGAAGUGCACAGAAAAGCCGAGACACACAGAGAGGGCCAAACUUGAUGCACAGAUGAUUUAACUCUUUUGCAGAGUAGGGAUCAUCAUACCUUGAAUGGCUUGGAUGAUUUGUUUCAAAUAUUUUAUGAUUGUUUUUUUGUUUAAAUUGCAUAUACGUAUUUUUGUUUAAAUGUAUAUGUAUAUUUUUGUGAAAUUAAUUUUGCAUGAAACUUUCUGAAAUCCUUAUUAUGAUUUUUCCUACUGUCUCACCCCCUACAGUUUCAGAUACCGAGGAUGAACUUGGAUUGCUAGUAGCGGGCUUAGGUGGAAGAGUUGGUGUUGAGGAUUAUUUAUUUAUUUUAGAGAUGUUGUAUUAUUUAUUUGAGGAAACUGAUUCUGUAUCAAUAAAAUAAUAUUUCUUUUUGAGAUCUUGGGUGUAAUACUGAUGUAUUUUGAUUUGAAUAAAUCGAGGAAUUUAUUUUAAAAAAAAAAAUUGGGGCGUUACAGAAUGGUAUCAGAGCCUGUACCCAGCCGAAAGUGUGAGUGUAGUGAUGUUAUAGCUAGACGGGUGUGAGUGGGCGAGUGUUUAGUUCUGAUUUGCUACUGCUCAUAACCUGGUGUGUAUGGGCGGGUGUCGUUCACUGAUAGCUAUUGGGAUGGUCAAUAAUUGUGAUUCGGCAUAUGGUAUUGCCUGUUUUAUUAUUAGUCUUAUUUUGUGGGCAGGUGACGGCAUCAACUAGCUACCAUAAUGGUUUCAGAGUGUGUGGGCGAGUAACUAGCACUGUCAGCUACCACAACAUUUUGCAUGUCACAGUAUCUCGCAUUGCCUGGGUUUCAGGUAUCGAGGAUGAACUUGGAUUGCUAGUAGCGGGCUUAAGUGGAAGAGUUGGUGCUGAGGAUACUUUAUUUAUUUUAGAGAUGUUGUAUUAUUUAUUUGAGGAAAUUGAUUCUGUAUCAAUAAAAUGAUAUUUCUUUUUGAGAUCCUGGGUGUAAUACUAAUGUAUUUUGAUUUAAAUAAAUCGAGGAAUUUAUUUUUUGUAA